rfam:Rhodoferax antarcticus ANT.BR grfa_new.contig.0_1, whole genome shotgun sequence.
GCCCGGGUGGUGAAAUUGGUAGACGCAGGGGACUCAAAAUCCCCCUCCGAAAGGAGUGCCGGUUCGAUUCCGGCCCCGGGCA